UGUAAAAUAAGCUAAGUGUAAGCUGUUGGGUUCAUACCCCAAAAAUGAAUAAUUAAAUUCUUUUACAA
rnacentral:tRNA from 1 species